rnacentral:rRNA from 1 species
CGCUAUCACUCCUACGGGAGGCAGCAGUGGGGAAUAUUGCACAAGUGGGCGCAAGCCUGAUGCAGCCAUGCCGCGUGUGUGAAGAAGGCCUUCGGGUUGUAAAGCACUUUCAGUCGUGAGGAAGGUAGUGUAGUUAAUAGCUGCAUUAUUUGACGUUAGCGACAGAAGAAGCACCGGCUAACUCCGUGCCAGCAGCCGCGGUAAUACGGAGGGUGCGAGCGUUAAUCGGAAUUACUGGGCGUAAAGCGCAUGCAGGCGGCCUGUUAAGUCAGAUGUGAAAGCCCGGGGCUUAACCUCGGAAUUGCAUUUGAAACUGGCAGGCUAGAGUCUUGUAGAGGGGGUAGAAUUUCAGGUGUAGCGGUGAAAAUGCGUAGAGAUCUGAAGGAAUACCAGUGGCGAAGGCCGGCCCCCUGGACAAAGACUGACGCUCAGAUGCGAAAAGCGUGGGGAGCAAACAGGAUUAGAUACCCUGGUAG